rnacentral:rRNA from 1 species
CAGUCGAGCGGACAGAUGGGAGCUUGCUCCCUGAUGUUAGCGGCGGACGGGUGAGUAACACGUGGGUAACCUGCCUGUAAGACUGGGAUAACUCCGGGAAACCGGGGCUAAUACCGGAUGGUUGUUUGAACCGCAUGGUUCAAACAUAAAAGGUGGCUUCGGCUACCACUUACAGAUGGACCCGCGGCGCAUUAGCUAGUUGGUGAGGUAACGGCUCACCAAGGCGACGAUGCGUAGCCGACCUGAGAGGGUGAUCGGCCACACUGGGACUGAGACACGGCCCAGACUCCUACGGGAGGCAGCAGUAGGGAAUCUUCCGCAAUGGACGAAAGUCUGACGGAGCAACGCCGCGUGAGUGAUGAAGGUUUUCGGAUCGUAAAGCUCUGUUGUUAGGGAAGAACAAGUACCGUUCGAAUAGGGCGGUACCUUGACGGUACCUAACCAGAAAGCCACGGCUAACUACGUGCCAGCAGCCGCGGUAAUACGUAGGUGGCAAGCGUUGUCCGGAAUUAUUGGGCGUAAAGGGCUCGCAGGCGGUUUCUUAAGUCUGAUGUGAAAGCCCCCGGCUCAACCGGGGAGGGUCAUUGGAAACUGGGGAACUUGAGUGCAGAAGAGGAGAGUGGAAUUCCACGUGUAGCG